rnacentral:lncRNA from 1 species
AAAACACGGGUUUCGUACUAAUGGCCUCCGAUCGGUUCUGCAACCGAUCGGGAUAACCGAUCGCCACGUCUGAGUACUCAAAGAUGAGUACUUCUCGCCCAUCUCCGAAUCUAGCUCGUCCCGGGGCAAAUGUUCCUCGACUAUUCCUCAUAAAAUGGAUGGUUGAGCGACGAAAUUUCAAUAUGGGUCGAGGAAAUAUGUCAUUUGACCGAUGGAAAUGAAGCUAGGGCGUUUCGGGAAGGCUCUCGUCGGACUCCGACAAAUUGGCUCGACCAUCUUCAAAACUGUCUCGACCAAACAUCAUGAAAUACCCAUAAGAACGGUGAAUAUCGAAGAUGGUACAGGAAAUUAUGAGUUUGGGUCGAAGAAACUUGAAGAGGUCUUGAUCCGGCACAAGAAGGUGCUAAUACGAAGAAGAAUUCAACCUAGUCUAUCUCAAGGCUGACCCAAGAGGAAGAUCCAUGAAGAUGAACCCAAGAGGCAGACCAAAGAAGAAGACUAAGGUGUAACCCUUGAAGGCUACUCGGCAUACAACCCGAGUUAGAUAACCUAUGGAGAAGAAGAGGUGGAUGAAGACCAAGAAGAUACCAAC